AGCGCUGUGGUGUAGUUUGGAUAACACGCUGGGCUCAUAACCCAGAGACCCAUGGUUCAAAUCCAUGCGGCGCUACCA
rnacentral:tRNA from 1 species